AACCAUAGAAACCUGCGGAGUACCUGCGGAAGGAUCAUUACCGAGUGCGGGUCCGCGUGGCCCAACCUCCCACCCGUGCCUAUUGUACCCUGUUGCUUCGGCGGGCCCGCCAGCCUUCGGGCUGGCCGCCGGGGGGCGUCUCGCCCCCGGGCCCGUGCCCGCCGGAGACCCCAACAUGAACCCUGUUCUGAAAGCUUGGUGUCUGAGUGUGAUUGUUUGCAAUCAGUUAAAACUUUUAGC
rnacentral:misc_RNA from 1 species